rnacentral:lncRNA from 1 species
UUUAAAGGAUUUUUAGCCAAAAGGAUGGAGAGUUGACUAAUUGGGAAGGGGUAAAUUAGUUAUUUCAAGAUAUUAGAUUCUUUUUUUUAAUUCAAUUUUGGGUAUUGACUAUUGAAUGAAUAGUUUGAUUACAGGCUAAAAGUAUCACCUCGCCGCCCUAGGACCGCUUCUUGAUUUAUUUUCAACUCCCAUUUAAGUUUUCUCAAUAAUUCAAAGCUAAUAAUCAAUCAAUUUAUUGUUUUACAAUCGUAAACUGUGGUUGUUUUUUUUUGGGUGUAAACUGUGGUUGUUUUACCUCUUGCGUUAUGGAUUUGUAUAUGUCCGUCGUAUAAUUGCGUUAUGGAUUUGUAUAUGUCCGUCGUAUAAUUGCGUUAUGUAUUUGUAUAUGUCCGUCUUAUAAUUGCGUUAUGGAUUUGUAUAUGUCCCUCGUAUAGCACAAUAUAUCGAAUAAAAGUUAAUAAAGGCAGGAUUAAUUAAUUCAAAUGGGGUUGUGAUCGAUACAAUACAGUCGAGGCAAUGACCCUCUCCUCUCUCGUAGUCUAUUCUUUUUAUUUUAUUUUUUUAUUUUUUUUGCUAACAUUUGGGUCUAUUCUUUUUAGAGAACUCUUCUUUUUAUUUGCUACGCUACAAAUCUAUUAAUAUCACAUUAUAUUAAACAUCAUUUCCACAUAAUAGUUUCAGGCAGAACUAACACGUUAAAUGGUUAACCGAGUUUGAAGUUAUAGAAUAGACUGAUGGAACUGAUAAGCCUAUGAGUAUGGAGUAGAUUUGGACUAUCACGAAAAUUAGGAUGUUAUCAAAACAUUCAUGCGCACUCCCGUGUGUAUAUUAUUACAUUUUUUUUGGGUCAAAAUGUGUAUAUUAUUACAUAAAAAUGUGAAGUUAUGCAUGAGUCAUGUGAUGCAGCAUCAUGAUAACUUCACCAUCAAGCAACGAUCAUCUAUAUUGGCUUUUUAGGAUUUCCUUUUCUUACUUAAUGUUUAAUUUCCUUUUUAUUAGUUUUCCUAUUUCUACAAGGAUUAGGAGAUUUUAGCCGACUCUUGAGACUUAUAUAAGUCUUUGUACCUUUGCUUUUGAUACUCAGUUUUUGAAAGUUAUUAAUCAAGAGAUUUCUCUUAAGCCUUGUGUUGAUUCGAUUAAAUUCAUCAAUCCGAGAGCCUUG